GAGUUGAUGAUGGCCAGGUCCAGGAUGUAGGCAGUGAUGGGUUUCAUGGUGUCCCUCUGCAUGCGGAACCCAAGGACCCAAAUGACAGCUGCAUUCCCAGCCAGCCCACAGAGGCAGAUGAGCAGUGUCACACUGUGAAUGGCCACAUUGGUGACAUCUAUCUCACAGAGAUCAUCUCCCUUGGUCGGUGAGUUGGGAGAUGGGGACCCGAUGGUCACCUCCAUGGAUGGACAGUGGGCAGGCAGUGGGAUGUGGCCCCUGGAUGUGGUCAGCUUGGAUGAGAGUCAGUGCCUGGAGAAUCCAGGGAUGGACCACACGGCUCCAUAGCAGCUCCCUGUGUGGGAAGGAUUGAGUGGGGAAGAGUGAGAUGUGAAGGGGAGAAAGGCAUUGCAAAUUGUGGGUUGGGAGAGGGUGGUGGGAGAGUUGAGCUGUUCUGUAUGAAGGGCAGAAGGGAAGCACACUGCAGAGGAGCGAGCACCUGAGGACGGCACGGUGGUCAGGAGAAGAUGGUGGCAGGAACAGAGCAGCUGCUGGAGGAGAGAAAGGUGGGGGAGGGAGGAAGGAAAACAUUUCACUAACCUGUUCACUGUGGGGCAGCAGCAGGCCAUGAAAUGCUGGGCAGUGGAGGGAGGAUCUGGGGAGUGCACUGCAGUCAUUGGAAUAGGGUGGCAGGAACAGAGCAGCUGCUGGAGGAGAGGAAGGUGGGGGAGGGAGGAAGGAAAACAUUCCACUGACCUGUUCAGUGUGGGGCAGCAGCAGGCAAAGGGGGUCUGUGCAGAUCAGUGGAAGGGAUCAACAGGCUCAGACCCCUGUGUCCCUGGGGGCAAAAUUUCUGCAGAGAGUGCUUUCUUCCUGCUCCUGAAAGACCCUCUGGAGGGAGAGCCAGAGGGACUUCAUGGAGCAGGGACUCCAGCACUUCCCUACCAUGAAGUAGAUGAAGGGUUUGAUGCUGCUGUGGAUGCAGGUGAGCAGGAAAACAACCUGGGAGGGCACACGGAUAUAACCAAGCUGCUGCAGGAAACUGAAGAUGCCGAGGAGGAGAUUGAUGACCACAAUGAUGAAGAUAACGAUGUCUCGUCUCUUAGGUUGCUGCUGCUGGGAGCCACGCUUGACCUUGAUGAUGUUGAUUGUGUGGGAAAUGACCAUGGGGGCAACAAAGAGGAGCAGGAUGAUGGAGAACAUGGAGAUGAGAGCUGCCCGGCAGUGCUCCUGAUUGUGUGA
rnacentral:lncRNA from 12 species